AAUGAACGUUGGCGGCGUGGAUUAGGCAUGCAAGUCGCGCGCUUCCCUUCGGGGAGGAGCGGCGGAAGGGAGAGUAACGCGUAGAUACCUGCCCUCGGGACCGGAAUAGCGACGGGAAACUGUCGGUAAUGCCGGAUAACGUCCCUGGACCAAAGGUGUGAUUCCGCCUGAGGAGGGGUCUGCGUCCUAUUAGCUAGGCGGCGGGGUAACGGCCCACCGAGACGAGGAUGGGUACCGGGCGUGAGAGCGUGACCCGGCUCACUGGGACUGAGACACUGCCCAGACACCUACGGGUGGCUGCAGUCGAGAAUCGUCGGCAAUGAGCGCAAGCUUGACCGAGCGACGCCGCGUGCGGGAUGAAGGCCUUCGGGUUGUAAACCGCUGUCAGUGGGGAGGAAAUUCGUGGGGGUUCUCCCCCUCGAUUGACCGAUCCGCAGAGGAAGGACGGGCUAAGUUCGUGCCAGCCGCCGCCGUAACAC
rnacentral:rRNA from 1 species